rnacentral:rRNA from 1 species
AGUGAACGCUGGCGGUAGGCCUAACACAUGCAAGUCGAACGGCAGCACAGGAGAGCUUGCUCUCUGGGUGGCGAGUGGCGGACGGGUGAGGAAUACAUCGGAAUCUGCCAGUCGUGGGGGAUAACGUAGGGAAACUUACGCUAAUACCGCAUACGACCUUCGGGUGAAAGAGGGGGAUCGCAAGACCUCUCGCGAUUGGAUGAGCCGAUGUCGGAUUAGCUAGUUGGCGGGGUAAUGGCCCACCAAGGCGACGAUCCGUAGCUGGUCUGAGAGGAUGAUCAGCCACACUGGAACUGAGACACGGUCCAGACUCCUACGGGAGGCAGCAGUGGGGAAUAUUGGACAAUGGGCGCAAGCCUGAUCCAGCCAUACCGCGUGGGUGAAGAAGGCCUUCGGGUUGUAAAGCCCUUUUGUUGGGAAAGAAAUCUUUCAGGCUAAUACCCUGGGAGGAUGACGGUACCCAAAGAAUAAGCACCGGCUAACUUCGUG